rnacentral:lncRNA from 1 species
AUGUUAUGGUCGCAGCGCUCUCUGCCAUAUGUGUUGGUGGAACGCUUAGGAGUCUCGCUCCGCAGUAAACGCAAACCGUGCCAGGCUGGAAGACCGCGGCCCGCGCGGCGAGGUGCAGGGCUGCGGCGCCGGGGCCGGGGGCCGGGGGCCGGGGGGCCGGGGGGCCGGGGGCGCUCCCCGGAACAAAGGCACGAUCCUGAGGCCGUUUCGCGGGCCGUCCCCCCUCCCCCCACCCCAGCGCCAGCUUUGUCUCCUCGCGCGUGCGAGGCUGAGACUCGGAGGAGCCCCCGAGCCGGAGGGGCCGGCGUGGGAAGCUGCCCCGGCCGCCGCUGCGGUUUCCUGCAGCGCGACGAGCCCUUAGAGGAAGUGGGAGGGCCGCGCGGGGCUACCUGCAGCCCGCCGAGCGGGGCUGGACCUGAACCCCGCGCCCCCGGGGCCGUCGUGCGCCGGGGCCCAGGCGGCUGGGAGGGCGGGGGGCUCGGCGCCCCGGCUGCGCGGAGGAGCUGGGGUCCCGGCCCAGCUGGGCCUCGCGCGCGCAGCCCUGCCGCCGGGCCCUCCCCCGCGCCCCCCGCGCGCCCCCGCCGCCCCCGCCCCCGCCUCCGCCCCCGCCGCCCCCGCGCGCCGGCACUGGCUCGCGCAGGCCUCCUGCCCGGCCGUGGGCGGGGGGGCGAAGCCCGCGGGAGGCGCCCCGCCCCGCCCCGCCCCGCCCCUGCCCCGCCGCGCGCAGUCUCUCCCCCUGCCCGCCGGGGCGGUGGCGGUGGCGCUGCUGCUGCCGCGCGGCCUGCGAGGCCGGCACUCCCCUCCGCCCGGCUCCCUGCUCCUCCUUUCUCUCCCUCCCUCCCUCCCCCUCCCCGCCCCUCCCGCCCCUCCCGCCCCUCGCAGGCUCGCCAGCCCGAGCGAAGGUGGCGCGGCGGCGCGGGACGCAGCCUCGGCCCCCGCCGCGGCCCCGCGAGCCCGAGAGGACCCCCGCGCCCCGCCCCCCCGCCCCCCGCGGCCCCCCGCGCCGCCCGGGGGCGCCCCCGCCGCGGCCGCCCGGAGGAAGCGCGAGCCGGGGAGCGAGGGGCCGGCGGCGGGAAGCCGGGAGAGGGAGGAGAGCGCGGCUCGAGGGCCCGCCCGCCGCGGCGCCGAGAGGGACGGACGGAGGGACGGACGGACGGACGGACGGCGGCCGGGGACGGGAGGGGCGGGGCGGGGAGGGGGCCGCCCGCGAGCUCGCCCGGCCCCUCGGCGGCGGCCCCGGGGCGGCGGCGGGCGGAGGGCGCGGCGGGCGCUGUCGAGACAAUAACCCGGAGCCGGAGGCCUAGCGCGGCCGGGACCCCGCGCCCCGCGCCCCCCGCGCCCCCCUGCCCCCCCCGGCCCCCGGCCCCCGGCCCGGGCCCGCCGCCGCGGGGACGCACUUGCGCGCCGUGA